rnacentral:tRNA from 1 species
GUCCGCGCAGCUCACCGGACAGAGCGCUGGCCUUCGAAGCCAGAGACAGCAGGUUCGAUUCCUGCCGCGGACA